GGUUCUACAUGGAAGCUGUUGGCUCAAAGCAGACAAAGAGGCCUGGAGUGUUGCUGCGGGAGGCUGAAGGGAGAGCAGAGCCCAUGGAAGAGCUGAUGGUCCUGCCAUGUCCCACCAUCUCCGGCAAAGGAGUUUGUGUAGUGGUGUCCAUGGAGUGAAAUAUUCCCAGUGAAGCUGUGAGUGGCACAGAGGAGCUCGUUGAGACCCUGACCAUCCAUGGGCAGAGCAGUUUGAUCACUCCCUGUACUGUCACAAGUUCUUCCAGCACCUCCCGAGCUUCUUCUGAAUGCCAGUGCUACAAACUACUCAUCUCACUGGGUUAUACUCCUCAGAAAGCAAAGCUACACUCCAGAACCUCCUCCUAGCCAGGACCUAAAUACAAGUAGAAUUUAAAUUGUAA